GAUGAACGCUGGCGGCGUGCCUAAUACAUGCAAGUCGAGCGAACGGACGAGAAGCUUGCUUCUCUGAUGUUAGCGGCGGACGGGUGAGUAACACGUGGAUAACCUACCUAUAAGACUGGGAUAACUUCGGGAAACCGGAGCUAAUACCGGAUAAUAUUUUGAACCGCAUGGUUCAAAAGUGAAAGACGGUCUUGCUGUCACUUAUAGAUGGAUCCGCGCUGCAUUAGCUAGUUGGUAAGGUAACGGCUUACCAAGGCAACGAUGCAUAGCCGACCUGAGAGGGUGAUCGGCCACACUGGAACUGAGACACGGUCCAGACUCCUACAGGAGGCAGCAGUAUGGAAUCUUCCGCAAUGGGCGAAAGCCUGACGGAGCAACGCCGCGUGAGUGAUGAAGGUCUUCGGAUCGUAAAACUCUGUUAUUAGGGAAGAACAUAUGUGUAAGUAACUGUGCACAUCUUGACGGUACCUAAUCAGAAAGCCACGGCUAACUACGUG
rnacentral:rRNA from 1 species